rnacentral:rRNA from 1 species
UACGUAAGUGGCGAGCGUUAUCCGGAAUUACUGGGCGUAAAGCGUGCGCAGGCGGUUAUGUAAGACCGGUGUGAAAUCCCCGGGCUUAACCUGGGAACUGCAUUUGUGACUGCAUAGCUAGAGUACGGUAGAGGGGGAUGGAAUUCCGCGUGUAGCAGUGAAAUGCGUAGAUAUGCGGAGGAACACCGAUGGCGAAGGCAAUCCCCUGGACCUGUACUGACGCUCAUGCACGAAAGCGUGGGGAGCAAACAGG